CUACGUGCCAGCAGCCGCGGUAAUACGUAGGGGGCAAGCGUUAUCCGGAUUUAUUGGGUUUAAAGGGAGCGUAGGCUGGAGAUUAAGUGUGUUGUGAAAUGUAGACGCUCAACGUCUGACUUGCAGCGCAUACUGGUUUCCUUGAGUACGCACAACGUUGGCGGAAUUCGUCGUGUAGCGGUGAAAUGCUUAGAUAUCAUGAAGAACUCCGAUUGCGAAGGCAGCAUACGGGAGUGUAACUGACGCUUAAGCUCGAAGGUGCGGGUAUCGAACAGGAUUAGAUACCCUGGUAGUCCGCACAGUAAACGAUGGAUGCCCGCUGUUAGCGCCUGGCGUUAGCGGCUAAGCGAAAGCAUUAAGCAUCCCACCUGGGGAGUACGCCGGCAACGGUGAAACUCAAAGGAAUUGACGGGGGCCCGCACAAGCGGAGGAACAUGUGGUUUAAUUCGAUGAUACGCGAGGAACCUUACCCGGGCUUGAAUUGCAGAGGAAUUAUUUAGAGAUA
rnacentral:rRNA from 1 species